rnacentral:pre_miRNA from 1 species
GGUCCCUGCCCUGUAGAGCUUACAGUCUAAUAUAUAUAAUAUAAUAUAAUAUAAUAGAUUGUAAGCUCUUUUGGGCAGGGUUC